rnacentral:lncRNA from 1 species
UUCUCCCUGUGUAGCUCUGGCUGUUCUAGAACUUGCUAUGUGACCCAGGAUGGCCUCAAUCCUUAACGAUUUGCCUACCUCAGCCUCACAGGUGUUUAGGAUUACAUGGGUAAGCUGCUGUUAAACCUGAGAGUCAAGAGACCAUUUCAAGACUCCCAGAAAAUUGCCACAAGUCACAUUUUGCCGAAGCUUACUAAGGCAAAUCCUAAAGGCUACCCAUUCAGGUUCAAUCAGGCAAGCAUCUAUCCUGCCGUACUUCCCGCCUGCAUACCUCCUAUGUCCAAUCAAUUACAUCGGUGCAGUUGAGGGGUGCGAAAACAUGUGGCUGGUUAUCUCACAAACCCCCAGGAAUGACAGGAAGUCAUCGGCCCUUGAGCAAGUGGGGCUUACAGGUUAACUUACACCCCUACACCACCACACCCAGUUUAAAAGACCUGAUUUAAAGAAACGAAUUUUUGCCCGUCAGAAGAUUGUAGCUGACAUCUGGUGGUGGUUUCAUUUGCAUGUUCCUUGUUGGUGGUAAGCGUGAACAUUUUGAUACGUCGAUCAGCUACUACAGUUUCUUCCAUCUUUGUCUCAUUUCUGCUCCCCGGAUGUCACGACGUGAACUGCUCUGCUCAUGAAUGCCUGUCUAUCCACACUCAUGAGCCCACUGACAAAUGAAUCUCCCCUCCCUCAAGUUACUUUUCCUAGGCAUUUGGUCUCAGGAACAUAAAAGCCUGAUACAGUGAUAGCUCUUUAUCCUAGAUCCUCCAUGGACUUGCACAGAUUUGUGGUGACCAUCCUUUAGAUUGUCCUUGUCAUCUUGGAAGUCCUUCCUUAUCCCCCCCGCUUUCUAGAUCACAUUCUUUGACUUUUUACAAUGUAAUUUUUUCUAUUGAUUCUUUCAGAGUUUCACAUUAUGCACCCCAACCCCACUCAUUUCCCAGUCUGUCCAUAUUCUCCUCCAGCCCUUGUAACCUCCCCAACUCGAAAAAUAAAAUAAAAAAUAAAAAUAA